rnacentral:rRNA from 1 species
AACAGACGAGGAGCUUGCUCCUCUGACGUUAGCGGCGGACGGGUGAGUAACACGUGGAUAACCUACCUAUAAGACUGGGAUAACUUCGGGAAACCGGAGCUAAUACCGGAUAAUAUAUUGAACCGCAUGGUUCAAUAGUGAAAGACGGUUUUGCUGUCACUUAUAGAUGGAUCCGCGCCGCAUUAGCUAGUUGGUAAGGUAACGGCUUACCAAGGCAACGAUGCGUAGCCGACCUGAGAGGGUGAUCGGCCACACUGGAACUGAGACACGGUCCAGACUCCUACGGGAGGCAGCAGUAGGGAAUCUUCCGCAAUGGGCGAAAGCUUGACGGAGCAACGCCGCGUGAGUGAUGAAGGUCUUCGGAUCGUAAAACUCUGUUAUUAGGGAAGAACAAAUGUGUAAGUAACUAUGCACGUCUUGACGGUACCUAAUCAGAAAGCCACGGCUAACUACGUGCCAGCAGCCGCGGUAAUACGUAGGUGGCAAGCGUCAUCCGGAAUUAUUGGGCGUAAAGCGCGCGUAGGCGGUUUUUUAAGUCUGAUGUGAAAGCCCACGGCUCAACCGUGGAGGGUCAUUGGAAACUGGAAAACUUGAGUGCAGAAGAGGAAAGUGGAAUUCCAUGUGUAGCGGUGAAAUGCGCAGAGAUAUGGAGGAACACCAGUGGCGAAGGCGACUUUCUGGUCUGUAACUGACGCUGAUGUGCGAAAGCGUGGGGAUCAAACAGGAUUAG